GAUGAACGCUGGCGGCGUGCCUAAUACAUGCAAGUCGAGCGAACGGACGAGAAGCUUGCUUCUCUGAUGUUAGCGGCGGACGGGUGAGUAACACGUGGAUAACCUACCUAUAAGACUGGGAUAACUUCGGGAAACCGGAGCUAAUACCGGAUGAUAUUUUGAACCGCAUGGUUCAAAAGUGAAAGACGGUCUUGCUGUCACUUAUAGAUGGAUCCGCGCUGCAUUAGCUAGUUGGUAAGGUAACGGCUUACCAAGGCAACGAUGCAUAGCCGACCUGAGAGGGUGAUCGGCCACACUGGAACUGAGACACGGUCCAGACUCCUACGGGAGGCAGCAGUAGGGAAUCUUCCGCAAUGGGCGAAAGCCUGACGGAGCAACGCCGCGUGAGUGAUGAAGGUCUUCGGAUCGUAAAACUCUGUUAUUAGGGAAGAACAUAUGUGUAAGUAACUGUGCACAUCUUGACGGUACCUAAUCAGAAGCCACGGCUAACUACGUG
rnacentral:rRNA from 1 species